CCUUCUAAAUCCCGAUCCCUCUUCUCUUCUCCUCUUCGUUCAAUCCUCUCCUCUUCUCCUGACUCUUCUUCUUCCCGAUCUUUUCUCCUCGCCACCGAAGCUUCUCCUCUUCUGGUUAGCCGUUGACGUCUUCCCUUCCCCUUCAUCAGCGGCGUAGAUCCGGUCAUCGCCCCUCUCUGGAUCCACCCUCGUCGUGCCUCCUAAUUGUCGACGCUGGCCACCGCAUUCCCAGCCCUAGCCGCGGACACCAAGAACUCGUCGGGAGCCGAGCAUUCGAGCCCAUCUUUCCGGCAGAGCUUUGUAGUCGAUCUAUGCCAACGCUCGACGCCAUUGCCUCCUCCACAUGAGGCUAUAUCGACGAUGCCGUAGUCGUUGAUGUCGCGAGAUUUAGCCGUCGGACUCCUCUCGAUCUUGCCCGAGGUCACCGCCCUUUGGCUGUGUUCUAGCUCCUGAUCCAUCGACGUUGGGCUGAGCACCACCUGAUGCAGUUCUGUUCGAUUGCCCCGACAUUUUUUCUUCUCCGAGUACCCUCUGGCGAAGGCAAUUGGGCUGUUCCCGUGCACUGCCAUGCCAAGAGAAAGAAGUUGAAGGUCUCCUUUGUACAUCGCCCCUCUCCAACCAUCAUAAUCCGUUGUUAGAGAAGGAGAGCAAGCGAUAUUGGGUCUUUGUAGCUUCGACCAGCAUUGUCCACCGACAAUCCAUGGCUCUGGUCAUUAUGUUUUGGCAGUGAACCUUCGAUUGUGAGCUAUUAACUUUGGAAUUGGAUAAGUUGUGGAGGAUGUUGAUUCGAGACGAGCAUCCCAACGUGGAGGUAGUUUGAGACGAACAUUUUGAUGUGGGAGUUAUGUUGGCACGAUCUACGAUAAAGGUAGCAGACAGAUUUUUUGGAGUCUCUUGGAAUAUCCUGUUUGUCAGUUCCCACGUCACAUUCGAAGACCUAUUUUUGGUUUUUAUUUGUACUUUAUUUGGUCUAUGCUUUUGGUUUACUUAGUAAUGUAAAUUUAGGUUUUGGUUCUGGAGUAUUUUGAUGUGGUGUUUUGUAUUGUUUGUGGUGUUGUGUAAGUCUAGCCGGCUAGCAGUCUUGUUUUU